GUCUGCAGCCAUACCACCUUGAACAUGCCCGAUCUCGGAAGCUAAGCAGGGUCGGGCCUGAUUAGUACUUGGACGGGAGACCACCUGGGAAUAUCGGGUGCUGUAGGCU
rnacentral:rRNA from 1 species